rnacentral:rRNA from 1 species
GGAGGGUGUAAGCGUUAUUCGGAAUUAUUGGGCGUAAAGAGCGCGUAGGCGGUUUUUUAAGUCAGAUGUGAAAGCCCGAGGCUUAACCUCGGAAGUGCAUUUGAAACUAAGAGACUUGAGUAUGGGAGAGGGAAGUGGAAUUCCUGGUGUAGAGGUGAAAUUCGUAGAUAUCAGGAGGAACACCGGUGGCGAAGGCGACUUCCUGGACCAAUACUGACGCUGAGGCGCGAAGGCGUGGGGAGCAAACAGGAUUAGAUACCCUGGUAGUCCACGCAGUAAACGGUGAACACUAGGUGUAGCGGGUAUUGACCCCCCUGCUGUGCCCGAAGUUAACGCAUUAAGUGUUCCGCCUGGGGAGUACGACUGCAAGGUUA